AGCCUGGGACCUUUGGCCCGCUCUGUUCUUUUGGAAGUCAGGAAGCGACGCAGCAGUUGUAGAUGGUGUAUAACUGAACUUCUGGGAGGGGAGAAGUUUAUUCGCUCCUCAGUGGUGUUGCCAGCUUUGUGUCGCCUGUGGUGAGUGAUGGAGGUCUCUGAGGAUGACCCAGCUUACAUGGUUAAAUUCAAGGAAACCUUCAAAGCAGAAACGGAGAAGCGCAAGGAAAAAACUAACAUCAUGUGGCUCAGGGUUGCAACGGCACUGGAUCCUGGGUUUAAGGAUCUGAAGUGUCUGAGCAGACCUGACAGGGCUGAGGUGUGGCGCUCGAUCAGUGCGUUGCUGAGAGAGCGGGAGAGGCCUGCACAGCCUGAACAACCAGCAACAUACGAGCCAUCUAAGAAAAGAUCAGCUCUCAUGCUUGUUUCAGAGUCUUCAUCUGAUAAAGAGGAAGACUGUACUGAGACGUGUGGAGCGAUACAGGACAGAGCCAACUACUGACAUAGAGGACUGUCCCCAGAAAUGGUGGCCCAAACAUGAAGGGGCACACGGAAAAAAGAAGAAGGAAGAAGCUUGGGUUGCUCAGCCUCUGCUAAAAACAACUGGAGAGCAUAAAGAAGCUCAGCCAAACUGUUUUAUUCAAAGACACCAGGAGUGUAAGCUAUAGCCUAACUGCACUUUAUAGGCUUAUGUAUUACACUCCCCACUGUUACAUAUGCAUUUUAUUGUAUGUUUUUUUUAAUGUGUAUUGUGUCUCCCUGUUUUGAACCCACUUGGCCCUAGUAUCUAAUCAAAGAGACUUUGAUAAGUCUGUCUCAUUCCUUUGCCCCAUGAGAGCUGGAAUAAACAUAUAUCCUCUUAAUUAUAGGUUAACAAACUUCAGUUAAAUCUUGAAACAGUAGAGACAGGUAGAAAUAGGAUCAGAUUAUGUUCAGACCAUCAUAUUAAAAAAGAAACUACAGCAUGCUCUAUGUGCUUUUUGCAAAUGCUUCCAAACCACAGUCAAGCAGCCCAGUCUCAUAAAUAGGUAACUGAAAUGUCUGUGAUGUAGACGUGUACAGUGUAGUCUAAGCAUUAAAAGAUCAUAAAUGACACAGUAACAUUCAUGUAAAACUAAUUUUAAUGACAAAUGAACAGGGACUUUAUAGAUUUUAAAAGAAAGGAUCUGAAAUCAAUACUUUUUAAAACAGUAUCUUGGGGUGUAGGUGGUCAUAAAAAUAGGAAACAUCUGAACAAUUUUCAAUAACAAACUGUAGUGUGCAGCAAUAUUACACAUCUGCCAACAACAAUACAGGUUUCAAAGUUUUUGAUCAAAUGUGUUUGUUAAAGGAAAUUUGUAUCCAUUUGUAUUAAUUCCACUACUGUUUUAUAAAGUGUUUGUACUCUUAUAGUGUUUAGCUUCAUUUAAACUUAGAGUGUGUGUGUACCUGACAUUUGUAGACUAGUAUGAUUGAAACCAUAUGAAGGAAGUUGCUUAACUGAAACUAGGAAUGUUAGCUUAAAAGGAAAAAUAGAGCACAUCAUGUUAAGGUCAAUGAACUCACACAUCCUGUUCCCAAAUCAGGAGAUGUUUUCUUACUUUCUCACUCUGUAUGCUCCACC